AUUAGAGUUUGAUCCUGGCUCAGAACGAACGCUGGCGGCGUGGAUAAGACAUGCAAGUCGAACGGAGGAAAUCGGUAGCAAUACUGGUCUCCUCAGUGGCGCACGGGUGCGUAACACGUGAGUUACAUGCCCUGCAGCGGGGAAUAGCCCGUCGAAAGGCGGAUUAAUACCCCAUGGUCCCGCAAGGGUAAAGGCGGCGCAAGCUGCCACUGCAGGAUUGGCUCGCGGCCUAUCAGCUUGUUGGCGGGGUAACGGCCCACCAAGGCAACGACGGGUAGCUGGUCUGAGAGGACGACCAGCCACACUGGAACUGAGACACGGUCCAGACACCUACGGGUGGCAGCAGUCGAGAAUCAUUCACAAUGGGGGAAACCCUGAUGGUGCAACGCCGCGUGGAGGAUGAAGGUCUUCGGAUUGUAAACUCCUGUCAUCCGGGAGUAAGACCUGACGGUGAACAGCCGGCAGGGUUGAUAGUACCGGAAGAGGAAGGGACGGCUAACUUCGUGCCAGCAGCCGCGGUAAUACGAAGGUCCCAAGCGUUGUUCGGAAUCACUGGGCGUAAAGGGUGCGUAGGCGGUCCUGUAAGUCGGGCGUGAAAUCCCGGGGCUCAACCCCGGAACUGCGUUCGAUACUGCCGGGCUGGAGGAUCGGAGAGGAGACUGGAAUUCUCGGUGUAGCAGUGAAAUGCGUAGAUAUCGAGAGGAACACUCGUGGCGAAGGCGAGUCUCUGGACGAUUCCUGACGCUGAGGCACGAAGGCCAGGGUAGCGAAAGGGAUUAGAUACCCCUGUAGUCCUGGCAGUAAACGGUGCACG
rnacentral:rRNA from 1 species